rnacentral:rRNA from 1 species
AUUGAACGCUGGCGGCAUGCCUUACACAUGCAAGUCGAACGGUAACAGGUCUUCGGAUGCUGACGAGUGGCGAACGGGUGAGUAAUACAUCGGAACGUGCCUAGUAGUGGGGGAUAACUACUCGAAAGAGUGGCUAAUCCCGCAUGAGAUCUACGGAUGAAAGCAGGGGAUUGCAAGACCUUGUGCUACUAGACCGGCCGAUGGCAGAUUAGGUAGUUGGUGGGAUAAAAGCUUACCAAGCCGACGAUCUGUAGCUGGUCUGAGAGGACGAUCAGCCACACUGGGACUGAGACACGGCCCAGACUCCUACGGGAGGCAGCAGUGGGGAAUUUUGGACAAUGGGCGCAAGCCUGAUCCAGCAAUGCCGCGUGCAGGAUGAAGGCCUUCGGGUUGUAAACUGCUUUUGUACGGAACGAAAAGCCCUGGGUUAAUACCCUGGGGUCAUGACGGUACCGUAAGAAUAAGCACCGGCUAACUACGUGCCAGCAGCCGCCGUAACAC